rnacentral:rRNA from 1 species
UACGUAGGGUGCAAGCGUUGUCCGGAAUUAUUGGGCGUAAAGAGCUCGUAGGCGGUUUGUCGCGUCUGCUGUGAAAACUCGGGGCUUAACCCCGGGCCUGCAGUGGGUACGGGCAGACUAGAGUGCGGUAGAGGAGACUGGAAUUCCUGGUGUAGCGGUGAAAUGCGCAGAUAUCAGGAGGAACACCGGUGGCGAAGGCGGGUCUCUGGGCCGUAACUGACGCUGAGGAGCGAAAGCGUGGGGAGCGAACAGG